rnacentral:rRNA from 1 species
CAAUAGCGUAUAUUAAAGUUGUUGCAGUUAAAAAGCUCGUAGUUGGAUUUCUGGUGGGAGCGAUCGGUCUGGCGCUUAGCGCGAGUACUUUCAUCGUCUCCGGCCAUCCUUGGGGAGAGUCUGUCUGGCAUUAGGUUGUCGGGCAGAGGAUCCUCAUCGUUUACUGUGAAAAAAUUAGAGUGUUCAAAGCAGGCUUAUGCCGUUGAAUAUAUUAGCAUGGAAUAAUAAGAUAGGACUUUGGUACUAUUUUGUUGGUUUGCGCACCAAAGUAAUGAUUAAUAGGGACAGUUGGGGGCAUUCGUAUUCCGUUGUCAGAGGUGAAAUUCUUGGAUUUACGGAAGACGAACUACUGCGAAAGCAUUUACCAAGGAUGUUUNCAUUA